UUAAUCCUACGGGGGGCAGCAGUAGGGAAUCUUCCACAAUGGGCGAAAGCCUGAUGGAGCAACGCCGCGUGGGUGAAGAAGGUCUUCGGAUCGUAAAGCCCUGUUGUUAGAGAAGAAAGUGCGUGAGAGUAACUGUUCACAUUUCGACGGUAUCUAACCAGAAAGCCACGGCUAACUACGUGCCAGCAGCCGCGGUAAUACGUAGGUGGCAAGCGUUAUCCGGAAUGAUUGGGCGUAAAGGGUGCGUAGGCGGCGAAAUACGUCUGAAGUAAAAGGCGUUGGCUCAACCAACGUAAGCUUUGGAA
rnacentral:rRNA from 1 species